GGAGCAAAAUGUCAGCCAUCUAAGCACCCUGUAACCCUCCGGGUGGCACAGGGCUGGAUGGGGCAUUCGUAUAGCAGGGACGGUGCUGCCUCUCACUUCGCUCGUUGUCCGCCGCUCGCCGCUCACUCGCUCAGCCAAAAAUGGCCUGUUUUGGCCCGUUUUGCCCCGUUUUGGCCAGUUUUUGGGCAGUUCUUGCUUGCCGCGGCGAACGACAUGAGCGGAUCAAAACGUCAGCCAUCUUAGCAUCCUAAAACACCCCGGGUGGCACAGGGCUGGAUGGGGCAUUCGUAUAGCAGGGACGGUGCUGCCUCUCCCUUCGCUCACUAUCCGCCGCUCGCCGCUCGAUCGCUCAGCCAAAAAUGGCCAGUUUUGGCCCUUUUUUGGGCCGUUUUGGCUAGUUUUUGGGCAAUUCUUGGGUGUCGCGGCGAACGUCGUGAGCGGAGCAAAAUGGCAUCCAUCUCAACACCCUGGAACCCCCGGGUGGCAAAGGGCUGGAUGGGACAUUCGUAUAGCAGGGACAAUGCUGCCUCUCGCUUCGCUCGCUGUCCACCACUCGCCGCUCGCUCGCUCAAGCAAAGAUGGCCAAUUUUGGUCCGUUUUUUGGCCGUUUUGGCCAGUUUCUGGGGAGUUCUUGCAUGCCGCGGCGAACGACGUGAGCGGAGCAAAAUGUCAGCCAUCUCAGCACCCUGGUCAAAGCAUGCCCAUGCUCUGGAUACAUUAGCAUCGGAUAACAUCAUAGGAUUUCGGUCCUAUUGUGUUGGCCGUCGGGAUCGGAGUAAAGAUUAAGAGGGACAGUUGGGGGCAUUCGUAUUUCAUGGUCAGAGGUAAAAUUCUUGGAUUUAUGAAAGACGAACCACUGCGAAAGCAUUUGCUAAGGAUGUUUUCAUUAAUCAAGAACGAAGUUGGGGUCUCGAAGACAAUCAGAUACCGUCCUAGUCUCAACCGUAAACGAUGCCGACCAGGGAUCGACGGAUGUUGCUCUUAGGACUCCGCCGGCACCUUAUGAGAAAUCAAAGUCUUUGGGUUUCGGGGGGAGUAUGGUCGCAAGGCUGAAACUUAAAGGAAUUGACAGAAGGGCACCACCAGGAGUGGAGCCUGCGGCUUAAUUUGACUCAACACGGAGAAACUUACCAGGUCCAGACAUAGCAAGGAUUGACAUAUUGAGAGCUCUUUCAUGAUUCUAUGGGUGGUGGUGCAUGGCCAUUCUUAGUUGGUCGAGCGAUUUGUCUGGUUAAUUCUGAUAAUGAACGAGACCUCAGCCAGCGAACUAGCUACGUAGAGGCAUCCCUCCGCGGACAGCUUCUUCGAGGGACUAUGGCCGUUUAGGCCACGGAAGUUUGAGGUAAUAACAGGUCUGUGAUGCCCUUAGAUGUUCUGGGCCACACGCACGCUACACUGAUGUAUUCAACGAGUCUAUAGCCUUGGCCGAUAGGCCCGGGUAAUUUUGAAAAUUUCAUCGUGAUGGGGAUAGAUCAUUACAAUUGUUGGUCUUCAACGAGGAAUUCCUAGUAAGCGCGAGUCAUCAGCUCGGUUUGACUAUGUCCCUGCCCUUUGUACACACCGCCCAUCACUCCUACCGAUUGAAUGGUCCGGUGAAGUGUUCGGAUCGAGGCGACGGGGGUGGUUCGCCACCCGCGACGUCGUGAGAAGUCCAGUGAACCUUAUCAUUUAGAGGAAGGAGAAGUCGUAACAAGGUUUCCGUAGGUGAACCUGUGGAAG
rnacentral:rRNA from 1 species